UACGUAGGGUGCGAGCGUUAAUCGGAAUUACUGGGCGUAAAGCGUGCGCAGGCGGCUUUGCAAGACAGAUGUGAAAUCCCCGGGCUCAACCUGGGAACUGCAUUUGUGACUGCAAGGCUAGAGUACGGCAGAGGGGGAUGGAAUUCCGCGUGUAGCAGUGAAAUGCGUAGAUAUGCGGAGGAACACCAAUGGCGAAGGCAAUCCCCUGGGCCUGUACUGACGCUCAUGCACGAAAGCGUGGGGAGCAACAGG
rnacentral:rRNA from 1 species